CGAUCCGGUUAUUUCUAAAGUCUACAUCACAUUUGUGGGCAUUGGAAAUCUGUGUGGGCAUUCAUAACAAUGCCAAUGUUUUCAACAUUAUUUAUCUUUCUUUUUAUUUAUACAACUCAUAAAUAUAUAUGUCCUAAAUUUUUUGGGUUUAUAUAGGAACAGACUUAUUUACCCUAUAGGUUUAAACCGUUAUCAAUCAAGUACCCCUCAGAUUAUCCAGUCCUCGAAAUGUUGGAAGUAAUUUGCUCUACUGGCAGAUCACAGACAAACGCUUAACAACCACGGCUCGGCUCAUUGCCGCAGAGAAAGUGAUUCAGCCACUACAAUUCCGCCUCUAAGCGAAAGGAUUAUCUCUAGAACCUCCGACCACCGCCUUCAGGAGUCUCUACGAUGGAGCGCAAGCGUGAGUUCCGGGCAUCUACAAGUCCUAAAGCUGAAGGAACUUCUUCUGAAAGUGGAAUAGACAGAUUUAGUGUUCUUCCGGAGGAAGUUGCUCAUUGUAUUCUUUCCUUACUCAAUUUCAAGGACCUCACUCGGGUGGGUGCUCUGUCCAAAAGAUGCAGACAAUUUCAUCUCUCAGUUCCGGUGGUGGAUUUUGGUACAGUUUGGUGGACAGAUGAAAAAAAAAAAAUGGAUUUAGCGACGCUGAUGAUUUCUUUUGAUAGAUACUUGCAUUUUCGUGGUCA